GUGUUUAUAAGAUGUGGAGCCUUCCGUAGUGUGAUCUACGGAGCUGUUAUUUUGUGACUAGCUUCCUGUCCCACGGGAGAUGGAGCACAGAGACAAGCAGUCGUGAGGGAAGUGAGCAAAGCCAGAAAGCCACCCAAGGCCAGGAUUGGAGCGACGAGGUACUCAACCAAGGGAUGCCUUUGAAAACUGGAAAAGACAAGGAGCACAUUCGUACCCUGGAGACAUAGAAAGUAAUCGUGAUGACAUCUUGACUUCAGCUUUAUAAGGCC
rnacentral:lncRNA from 1 species